AGCGCAGGUGGUUUAUUAAGUCUGGUGUAAAAGGCAGUGGCUCAACCAUUGUAUGCAUUGGAAACUGGUAGACUUGAGUGCAGGAGAGGAGAGUGGAAUUCCAUGUGUAGCGGUGAAAUGCGUAGAUAUAUGGAGGAACAUCGGUGGCGAAAGCGGCUCUCUGGCCUGUAACUGACACUGAGGACUCGAAAGGCGUGGGAGCAAACA
rnacentral:rRNA from 1 species